rnacentral:rRNA from 1 species
AUUGAACGCUGGCGGCAGGCUUAACACAUGCAAGUCGAGCGGUAGCACAGGGGAGCUUGCUCCCUGGGUGACGAGCGGCGGACGGGUGAGUAAUGUCUGGGAAACUGCCUGAUGGAGGGGGAUAACUACUGGAAACGGUAGCUAAUACCGCAUAAUGUCGCAAGACCAAAGAGGGGGACCUUCGGGCCUCUUGCCAUCAGAUGUGCCCAGAUGGGAUUAGCUAGUAGGUGGGGUAAUGGCUCACCUAGGCGACGAUCCCUAGCUGGUCUGAGAGGAUGACCAGCCACACUGGAACUGAGACACGGUCCAGACUCCUACGGGAGGCAGCAGUGGGGAAUAUUGCACAAUGGGCGCAAGCCUGAUGCAGCCAUGCCGCGUGUGUGAAGAAGGCCUUCGGGUUGUAAAGCACUUUCAGCGAGGAGGAAGGCGUUGUAGUUAAUAACUGCAGCGAUUGACGUUACUCGCAGAAGAAGCACCGGCUAACUCCGUGCCAG